AAAUUGGAAACAGGAGGCAGAGGAGAAGCUUUAUAUAGCCUGGGAGGUCCAGGAGCCCAGCGCUGAUUUAUGACCAGCCUGCUGAAAGCCCGUGGAAGCCGAGGUGGGGAGAGUGGCCAGCAGGUUGCCAAGCUGGCUGAUGACCCUCCUGGAAUGAGACAGGACCAUGGAAGACAUUUUUAAACAUUGUGUCAAGAAAGCAAAACCAAGGGAGGCACAAUCCCCCUCGACCUUGAUGCCGGAUUCGCACCUGCUGGCAGAAGGGAGGCCCAUGCAUCACCAACCCCCGUGUGCUGGUUCCCCGAGGCUCAAGGUCAUGAGAGUGCAAGAUUUCAUCACAUUUCCAAAAGGCACAAAAAGAGAGAUUGCUGCCUCUUGGAGCUAACAAGGAUCAUUUCUGUCUGAACCAGGGAAAAAGAGCAGGAACGCAAGCGUCUUCUUUAUUCCCCUGCAGCCUCUUUCUCCCUUACAUUCAAAUUUCCUUCCAAGAAGUUCACCUGCCCAUCUGCGUCCAUGUGUGCUGCCCGGAUCAUCUCCUCCACCUCCUGGUUGUUCAGCUUCUUUCCCAGCCAGGUCAUUGCAUGCCGCCGCUUGGCGGUGCUGACCAGAAUUUUGCUGUCCUUGUCAAAGACGUGGAAGGCCUCCCAGAUGUGGUCCUCGCUGUCGCCAGCCUUCACCUUCCAGGCCAUCAGGCCCAGGAGCUCGGGGAAACCCACAGGGCCCCUGCCGUCGCAGUCCAGUUCACCCACCACUUUCUGGAGCUCGGCCUUGGAGUCCAGGACCAGGCAGCAGGCUGGCCAGCUGGUUGCACUGAUGCCAGCAGCUCUGGGAAUGGCCAGACCCUUGUCCCUACUGGCCGGAGCUGCGGGGACAGCUUCAGAGAGGUGAGUGGACAGCCUCGAGAGGGAUGAGUUCUGGGUUUGCCUACUGGACUCGCCCAGUUCCCACUCUUUCUCCUCCAGUCUUCACACCUUCCACACUUAGUAAAAGCACCAGCCCUGAGCCCUCUCCUCCCUGUGAGUUUGGGUUGGGUUUAGAGGAUGACCUAUGAAAAGAAGACUUGAUAAACUAAGUGCUAUAGCUGGACGGUGUGUCCCCACAAGAUCAUAUGUUGGGGGACGUGUCCAUGAAAGACCACGAGGGCAGGGGCAGGAGAAGCGCUGGCCGUGGGUGUGAAGCUGACACGGUGUCCGGGGGGACCAGAGGCCAGCAUGCCUGGGUCACAUUGCCUGACACUGUCCGGUGGAUGGGCUGCCAUAUUCUGUGUCCUGCCCUCCUCACCUGCAAGGCGUAAGUGGCCAACAGGAGUCUGCAUGUUUCUGGGUCAGAGCCUGAGUGGACUCUUCAUAAAGCAAGUUGAAAGGGAGCUCAGGAAGGGUUUUAGAGUUGCGCCUGACUCACAGGACACUGUGCUGUGAUGACUGAAUUGUUGCAAACUGCUGGUUAGGAAACUAUGACAGAGGGAAUGUUUUUAAUUUCCUGAGCUGUGUGUUUUUCCCCCUGUGGCCUCUUAG
ensembl:lncRNA